GGGGGACCUUCGGGCCUCUUGCCAUCGGAUGUGCCCAGAUGGGAUUAGCUAGUAGGUGGGGUAACGGCUCACCUAGGCGACGAUCCCUAGCUGGUCUGAGAGGAUGACCAGCCACACUGGAACUGAGACACGGUCCAGACUCCUACGGGAGGCAGCAGUGGGGAAUAUUGCACAAUGGGCGCAAGCCUGAUGCAGCCAUGCCGCGUGUAUGAAGAAGGCCUUCGGGUUGUAAAGUACUUUCAGCGGGGAGGAAGGGAGUGAAGUUAAUACCUUUGCUUAGUGACGAUACCCCCAGAAGAAAGAGCGGAUAACCCCCCGCGAGCAGCCCCCUCAUAUUGAGGGCGCAACCCCCCCCGGGAAGGGGGGAGUAAAUCCCCC
rnacentral:rRNA from 1 species